rnacentral:sRNA from 1 species
AGUCAUUUCAAGUAUCCAUGUCCAUUGCAGCUGCUCUGGAACUCACAGGAAGAUCUAAGUUUUUGCAAACUCAUGGAAGAAUCACCUGGCAUGAUGGAAGUGGUUCAUUGCAUGAUAUUCAACUGUCAUUGCCAUCCAGUCCAGAACCAGAAGAUGGUGAUAAAGUAUAUAAGAAUGAAGAUUUAUUAAAUGAAAUAAAACAACUUAAAGAGGAAAUAAAGAAAAAAGAUGAAAAGAUCCAACUAUUAGAACUUCAGCUUAGACUGCACCAGUUGUCCUGAAUAAUAUCUCACCUUGAAAAUAAUUUUUAGAAAGAUUUAAGAAAUAUUGAAGAGCAUCCUAAAGAAAGAAAAGUGAAAGCAUUAAUCUUUAUCAGCAACUCAGCAUAUCUGCCACCAAAAAUGUAAAGAGGAAAAAUGCACUUAUGCUGAUAAAUAUACCCAAACACCCUGGAGACGAAUUCCUCCUCAAGUACUACAGCCUUCCAGCAGCCUUCCCAGACCCACAGACCACACCCAGGGAAAACUAAUAAAGCCACAGCGUAUCGAGGCCCGCAGUGAAUGCGCAAUCCAAGACAUGCAUCAGGGUGGUGCACAUCCGGAAGAAAGCUUUACACACGUCUUGCACCAAGAAAGCAACUAUGGUUUGGAAGAGCAGCCUUUUUCAUCAGGCCCACAAUUAACAAUGGAUGUGGCUAAGAGUACACCUUCUGA